GAUGAAGAACGCAGCGAAAUGCGAUAAGUAAUGUGAAUUGCAGAGUUCAGUGAAUCAUCGAAUCUUUGAACGCACAUUGCGCCCCUUGGUAUUCCGAGGGGCAUGCCUGUUCGAGCGUCAUUAUAACCCUCAAGCUCAGCUUGGUGUUGGGGCCUGCUGCACUGGCAGCCCUUAAAAUCAGUGGCGGCGCCAUCUGGCUCUAAGCGUAGUAAUUCUUCUCGCUAUGGAGUCCUGGUGGAUGCUUGCCAUCAACCCCCAAUUUUUCUAUGGUUGACCUCGGAUCAGGUAGGGAUACCCGCUGAACUUAAGCAUAUCAAUAAGCGGAGGA
rnacentral:misc_RNA from 1 species